AUACGGAGGGUGCAAGCGUUGUUCGGAAUCACUGGGCGUAAAGGGCGCGCAGGCGGUUUGGUAAGUCAGAUGUGAAAGCCCACGGCUCAACCGUGGAAGUGCAUUUGAAACUGCCAGACUUGAGUACCAGAGGGGAAAGUGGAAUUCCCGGUGUAGAGGUGAAAUUCGUAGAUAUCGGGAGGAAUACCGGUGGCGAAGGCGACUUUCUGGCUGGAUACUGACGCUGAGGCGCGAAAGCGUGGGGAGCAAACAGGAUUAGAUACCCCGGUAGUCA
rnacentral:rRNA from 1 species